CAUCGCUAUGCUAUUCAAAUCACUGAUUCAAGGCAGAUUGUAAACAGAUACUUCAUAGUUAAAGAUCAAGAUGAGUACCAUAAUUACAGUUAUUGUGUUUUCUCUGGUUCUUGUCAGUUGCAGUUUUGGCCAGGAAUUCUCAGAUGUUGACACAAAUAGUAACAAGAAAUUGGUAUACGAAGAAUUUGAAGCUUUUUUCAAUAAUUUGGAUGGUAGCACAGCUGACGCCAAAGCUAUAAUAAAAAAAUACGAUUCAAAUGGGGAUGGAAAAGUGGAUGCGGCUGAAUUACGAAGCAAGUUCGAUGAAUUGGAUGGCAAUGGCAAUGGAUCAGUAACCAAAGCCGAAUACAAGGCAGUGUUUACAGAC